AAUAUUUGUCAAUGGAGGCAACUCUGAACGAGCCACGUCGCGUGAAGGAUGACGGCCCUACGGGUUGUAAACUUCUUUUAUACAGGAAUAAAGUGAGUCACGUGUGACUUUUUGCAUGUACUGUAUGAAUAAGGAUCGGCUAACUCCGUGCCAGCAGCCGCGGUAAUACGGAGGAUCCAAGCGUUAUCCGGAUUUAUUGGGUUUAAAGGGUUCGAAGGCUGAAGAGUAAGGUGGCGGUGAAAUUUUGCAUCUCAUCUGUAAAAGUGCCAUCGAUGCUGAUUUUCUUGAGAGUGGAUGAAGUAGGCGGAAUUUGUGGUGUAGCGGUAAAAUGCAUAGAUAUCACGAGGCACUCCGUUUGCGCAGGCAGCAUACUAAGCCAUAACUGACGCUCAGACACGAAGGCGUGGGAAUCAAACAGG
rnacentral:rRNA from 1 species